rnacentral:lncRNA from 7 species
ACCCAAGAACCGGUCGCCAGGAGCUUGGGCCGACCGAGCUAUCCUUUUCUCCUUGUUCCUUUUGGCUGUUCGCCCCUUCUCCUUCUUUGUUUCUGUUUUUUUUCUUUCUAGCAUCUGGCUGCUAGUUACUCUCUCUAUUUCUGUUUUUUAUUUCUUGUUCUUGAAUCUGGCGCUAUUUCCCUCACCUUGCGCGGGCAGGUCUUUUCCUUCACCAGAGUUGGUCGGCCGAUUAUGGGGCGCCGUCUUUAACCUUUCGAAACUCGGAUCUAGUCCCCAUUUACUCGAAUUCCUUAUUGUGUGUGAAUGAAUGUAUGAGAUGGAUCUAAUGUAAUAUUCGGGAUCGAGUUAUGAGCUGAUAAAACGUAGAUCCGAGACCUUGCGUUAUUUCUGUUAUUUUCUGUGAUGAUUUUCUGUACCAUUUCUAAUAUGUUCUGUCAUCUAGGCCACAGAUUUAAAAUACCCCGAGCCAAUGUGAUCUCUGUUGACCCAGAUUUAACACAGAUUAGGGUUAGGUUAUUAAACCCUAACUCUAAUACAUCGAUCUGUUUUUACUAUCUCAGAUUUCAUGGGUUUUGCCGAGACAGUCUCUGUCAGUGGCCAAAACCCUAGAUUUAGGGUUAGGUAAACCUUAACCCGAGAGAUAAAAAAUAUUCUUUCUAUUCUAAUCUAUCUGUUCAAUCAUGUUGAUCCGAGACUUUUCUGUGAUCUCAUAAAACUGAUGCGGAUUAGGAGAUCUAGGGUUCUUAGGAUGCCUCUGAUACCAUUGUUAGAAUCUAUACUGUCUAGGAUCGAUUCCUAAGUCCUUAGAAAACCAAUCCGUAACUGGAAGUAAAAUCUUG